rnacentral:rRNA from 1 species
CCUACGGGAGGCAGCAGUGGGGAAUAUUGCACAAUGGGGGAAACCCUGAUGCAGCGACGCCGCGUGAGUGAAGAAGUAUUUCGGUAUGUAAAGCUCUAUCAGCAGGGAAGAAAAUGACGGUACCUGAUUAAGAAGCCCCGGCUAACUACGUGCCAGCAUCCGCGGUAAUACGCAGGGGGCAAGCGUUAUCCGGAUUUACUGGGUGGAAAGGGAGCGUAGACGGCAGCACAAGUCUGGAGUGAAAUGCCGGGGCUUAACCCCGGAACUGCUUUGGAAACUGUGCAGCUAGAGUGGAGGAGAGGUAAGUGGAAUGCCUGGUGUAGCGGUGAAAUGCGUAGAUAUUAGGAGGAACACCAGUGGCGAAGGCGGCUUACUGGACUGUAACUGACGUUGAGGCUCGAAAGCGUGGGGAGCAAACAGGAUUAGAUACCCGGGUAGUC